UGUGCUUUCAUUUUGUUUACUUGCUUCUUUGUUUUGUUUUUCAGACAGGAUCUGACGUAUCCCAUGCUGGUCUCAAAACUCACUUUAUGAAUGCUAGAACUUGGAGAGUGAGAAGAGACUCCCUUUCAGGAUCAUUCUCCAGGACUCCAGACAAAGGCUGAAUUCAUAAUCUUCAAAAACAGUUCGCCAAAUCAAAAGCAAAGGAAAACGAUGAUCAAGUAUCCCUUCACCGUCAGCCUGCUCCUCGUGUAUGCUCAUAUUAUGGAAACAAUUCCAACAGCAACAACAACAGCAACAACAACAGCAACAACAACAGCAACAACAACAGCAACAACAACAGCAACAACAACAGCAACAACAACAACUACCACCACAAACUCUACAGAAAACUCGGGUCCUGGGGUGCUCUCAUCUUCCACCAUGAGCCCACAGGCCACACCAAGACUAACUCCUGCGAGUAGGACACAGCUUGGAAGCAGCCUCAAUCCUGGGAUAAAGCCUUUCGAGCUAAUCUCCAAGACCGCCUGGCAAGGAAACAUGUCCUCAAGUCCCUGCAUAAACAUGACUGCAGAGUCUGCGGCAGGUGGCAGCGCACCGUUCCAGCCAUCUUCCAUACUCAUUCUCCUCUGUGCAGUACGUUUACUCUUCACGUACUCAGGCAGACAUGAGCCAGAAUGCCCGCUCGCUUCAGCCCCUCAUAUUAUUUACUAAAUGGCAAGCACACUAAGAAAAUAAAAUUUAUUUUAAUUCACUAUCAUUAUUCCAGUAUGAUUUGGGUUUUGGCAAGUUUUAAUUGUAUAAUGUAAUAUUGCAUUAAUAUAAUAUAACCGUUUCCUUCUUAUAAAGGCAGUGCCCUAUUAAAUGCCAAAAUAAACAAAGCAUCACAUUUGUGUU